rnacentral:lncRNA from 1 species
AGACUCAUCUGUGGGUGGGAGAAGUGGGGGAAAGAAUGCUGGUGGUUCCCAGAUGCCUAACUCCCUUUCAGAAGGGAAGGAACACUUUCAACUGUGAUCAGGACUCAACACCUCUGGGGAUAACGAGCUGCUUUCUGGAAAGAGAGCAGGACAGGGAAUCAGGACACAGGUGCUUCUGACCCCAGCCAGGAAGCCCUGAUCUACUGAAGGCUCCUUAACCCAAGUUCAGUCUAAACAUGACUGCUCACUAAGGCCUUUCUGCAGAGGCCCUACACUGAGAAAAGCCCCCAGUCCAGCUGAGAGUGCCCUCUGGAAUGGCUGCAGGGCUCCUCCUUCCCCGGCUCCUCCUCCACUCAGACCCAGGCCUGGGCCCUGCUCGCUAAAGCGUGAAGGAGGCCCCCCAGGGAAGCCGCAGGCGCAGGGGCUUUAAAUUAUAGAGCAGCUUUCUUAGCCCCUCUCAGAAAGGCCCAGGCACCUUCGCUAAAUAAUUCACGACCUCAGGAAGACCCACUGGUUCUUGACACAGAUGAAGCUCCUCCUCCUCCUCCCUCAGAGCACCUGGGUCGCCAGCUGACGCAUUCACCAGCACUGACAUCUUAGACCCAAGCCGACCUGUGCAGGACUGGGAUUCAGGAGACGGGGUAAGGCGGGGAGCGGUGACCUGAGGUGCAAGUGAGGAAGUGACCAGAGCCAGCCACAGCCACUUUAGUUUUGCUUAGAGCAAGGCUGGAGCAACACCUAUUGGGAGGGGGGUUCCGGGGCCUCUGCUGUCCUCCCUUUCCAGGCACGGCUUUGGGUCUGAGGUGCGGUGCGGUGCAGAGCAGCUCUCCCAGGAGUGGAUGAAAAAACAAACAGUUAAACCCUGAGUUCAGCACACCAGCCCUCCAGUAAGAGUCUGAAAGGAUUUCAAGCAACCUCUUCACAGACAAGGAACCCGAGACCCCAAGUCACAAAAGGAUCAGCAAUGACAACAGCCGCCUCAUCUCCCAAGUCUGAAAUGGCCAGACGGUCA